GACGAACGCUGGCGGCGUGCUUAACACAUGCAAGUCGAACGGAAAGGCCCUGCUUUUGUGCGGUGCUCGAGUGGCGAACGGGUGAGUAACACGUGAGUAACCUGCCCUUGACUUUGGUAUAACUUCAGGAAACUGGGGCUACUACCGUAUAGGAGCUCCUGCUGCGUGGUGGGGGGUGGAAAGUUUCGGCGGUUGGGGAUGGACUGGCGGCUUAUCAGCUUGUUGGUGGGGUAGUGGCUUACCAAGGCGUUGACGGGUAGCCGGCCUGAGAGGGUGACCGGCGACAUUGGGACUGAGAGACGGCGCAGACUCCUACGGGAGGCAGCAGUGGGGAAUAUGGCACAAUGAGAGGAAGUCUGAUGCAGCAACGCCGGGGGCGGGAUGACGGCCUUCGGGUUGUAAACCGCUUUCGCCUGUGACGAAGCGGGAGUGACGGUAAUGGGUAAAGAAGCACCGGCUAACUACGUG
rnacentral:rRNA from 1 species